GCUUCUAAACCCAUACUUCUCCGUAUAGAUCUUGUGGCUACCAUUACACUGUUCGCAGAGAAUGAAUCUGAGCCCUCCACAAAGAUCACAGUUAUUACUACUAUUACUGCUGUCGACAAAAGGUAACCCAGUAAUCAUUUUCUUCAAAUCUCCAUUUUCAUUCAUAUCUUUAAUCUCUUCAGCGCCGCCCACAAAUUUUCCUCCUAUAAAAACUAAGGGUAAUGUGACUUUUUUUGACCCUGUGAUUUCUUGUAGCUCAUCUAAAUGCUUACUGUCCAUGGAUAAAUCUCGUUCGUCAAUUGGGAUCCGGAAUCCACGGAGGAUUGAUCUGACGGUCCUGCAGUCUUCAAAGGUUUUUCUGACAAUGCGGAGGGUAGUG
rnacentral:lncRNA from 1 species